rnacentral:pre_miRNA from 11 species
GCAGCAAGAAAAAUGAGGGACUUUCAGGGGCAGCUGUGUUUUACUAACCCAGUCAUAAUGCCCCUAAAAAUCCUUAUUGUUCUUGCAAUGUUC